UUAUGCAAGGUGCUAAAUAGAUUGCAUUUAUGCAAGGCCCAUAGAUACAAGAGAGGCUACAGAAAAUAAAGGCCAAACUAAAAGGAAAAUCAAAUCAAAAGAAUCAAAACCAAAACAAGCACAAACCAAAAUCAAAAUCAAAAUAAAAGUAAAAACAAAAUCGAAUGGUCUAGCCACGUGCGCUAGCUAUCAUCUGCAAGUCCACCAAUUCCACCAAUAAACAAUGACUCGUUGACACGAUUUCCUAACGCUGGAGUUGAGACCGGAACAAGCAAGCGAACCUAUAGAAAAGGACCACACAAAAAUACGACAGUGGGCGACAUGCACCGACACCACCGGAGCGGCACCAAUCACACAAAACACCAUUGCAGAAGGCAUGCAAGAGCAUAGAAGCGAGAAGAACAGAGGCAACGAACUGCAACACACACAAGCAAGUAACAAGCCUUUAAUAUCAAGAGUCAUCCACCGACAGAGGCGACCGAGGGAGGAGACAUCACAGAGCCCAGCCGAUGAUGGCCGAUGGGAGCGUGACCAUCGGACAUUUUGAUGUGAUCCCAGGAAUACCGAUAUCACGCAAACAACUAUCCUUCACACUAGAAGCACCAAUCGAAGUCCUAUUGAAACAGAUCCAGAAAAUAGUGAAUCCCUUACAAGAUCAACACCGAGGAUCUAGAAACACACAAAAUAAACAACAAAACAACAAACAAAAGAAAGAAAAGAAAAUAAACCGCCAGCACAUCCGUCACGCCGAAGGAUUCGGGGAAGGAUGGUGGUAACAAACUAAAAAAACAAACUAACAGCAAAGAGAGAAAAACAAGAAGGUUAGAAAAGCAACAAAAAACUCAAACGAAAACGAUGAAAACUAAG
rnacentral:lncRNA from 1 species